UAUUGUAGGACAACAGAGGUAUUUAUACAUUACACACAGCUUAUCUAAUUAACAUAAACUAGAUACAGCAGUCAACCAAUAAGGAAUUUCCAGACUUAAUGGCUCGCUGGCAUUACUUCACAAACUAUUCCCUCUGGCAUUUUGCCAGGCGUCAUCCAGACUUGUUUACAGACUCUAACAAAGCCAAAAGCCAUCAGUGGGAAAGAUGAAGAAAAGUGGGCUUUCAGGGCAGGAGUUUCUGGCUAGAAGCUGUUCUUUGCUCAUUGUGUCAAUUUUUCUCCCAGCUCCCUCAGGCUGAUUCUCUAGGCUAAGAUGGUGGGGAUGGUGUUUGCUGUAGUCGAGAAAGAAAGUGGCAGGUUGAACCCAGGGGUAGGGCUGAAAAGCUUCCCAAGUCACACUUGGCUCAGGCUUCUCCAGGGAAGAUGGACAGAGGGAAAGGAGGUGCUGGCACCAAGCGAGGGCUCUGGAAAGUUCAGAGGAGCUGGAGGCCUAGGUGGCAGGACAUGCCUGGAUAGCAAAGAGAGUCUGCAAUGCUCACACAAGGGACAGCAGUCCAAACCCUAUCAUGCAUAAGCAGAUGGAGUCCGACAAAGACUUGCCCUAACCUGUCUCCCAUGUGGGACUGACCUAGCCCUAUUAAGUCCUUGGUGGGCAGCCGGGGAGAGCAGGGGUCAGGGUAGCUCAGUGUUAGACAGGACACCAUGGGAGACAGACCCCAUGUGGUUUCUGGCUCAUCUCCAUCUCUCAAAGGUUUUGGACAUGCACACAGCUGGAGGAGGUCUCCCUGGCGGAGAACUUUGGAAAGCUCCCUCUAGUGAGACUGGGCAGGGGUGGCAGGGUGGGGGUGCGGAAUGCCUUGAGAAAGCAGCUGAGGAAUGGAGGGAUCGGGAUUUUCCAGAGACUUCAGAGAUGAUGUAGAACAGUUUUACUAAAUACAUCCUGAACUCCUUCUCUGACAUUUCUUUGAUGGAUUCUCUUAUGGGAGCAGCUUGGUUUGUUUGGAGCACUUUAUUCCCUCGUUUUUUCAUUUUGUUUGUGUGUCUUUCCAUCUAGCCAUGUGGAUCUGAGGCAGGAUAGUUUCUACUCUGUAGAUUUGAAGUGUCCCUGAAGGUUUCCAGAAACUCGCAGAUCUAGGCUCCGGUUUCUGCAAGCUCUGCCACACUGCAGGACCCAGAAGGCUCACCAACCGAGGACAAUGGAUGAACUCUGGGCAAAGAAGUAGAUUUUGAAUGAGUCAAGAACAUAAAGAAUUGGGCUACACAGCACCCUGUACUCAAAGCAAGACAGUGAGGAAUGUGAAGAUUGAAGAUCAAGGGUAAGGCAAGUCAUGGGACAAGUCAAGAAAGUCAUCAAGGACAAAAGGAGCCAGUCACUAGAAAGCAAGUUAAUGCAAUAGAUCAAAUUCCAGAAUCCUGGAAAACUAUGAACCUAAAAUAUUAAGCAAGUUGAUGGGGAAAGGCAGACAUACAAAAGCACCAAUAUGGGAAAAUGGGAUUGGAGUACAAAUAUGAGCCCUAGUAAAAAAAAACACUUGCCACAAAUGUCUGCUAUAAUAAAUACCUNAGCCCCAUCCCCAGCCCCUUUUAUAUGUUAUUUAGAGACAAGGUCUCACUGAGUUGCUCAGGGUCUGGCUAAGUUGCUGAGGCUGGCCUCCAACUUGUGAUCCUCCUGCCUCAGCCUCCUGAGCUAUUGGAAUAUGGUUCAUAUGUUUAAUUAAUGAGUUAAAUAAAAUCACUGGCACAUGUUUAAAUAAGGAAAAGUAAACCAGGCACCGUAGCACACAUCUGUAGCCAUAAUUACUCAGCAUACUGAGGCAAGAGGAUGGUUUGAACCCAGGAGUUCCAGGACUGCUUGGGAAACAUAGUGAGACCCUGAAAAAUAGAAAAUGAAAAGGGAAAAGAAAAGGAGAAAUGAAGAAAAAACAAUAGAGAGAAAAAUUUUAAAUGUAAAACCCAGGUGUGGUUGUACACACGUAUAAUCCCAGCAGCUCAGGAGGCUGAGGCAGGAGGAUCGAGAGUUGGAGGCCAACCUCGGCAACUUGGCAAGACCCUGUCUCUAAAUAAAAUAUAAAACAUGCUGUGGACGGGGCUCAGGGGUGAAGUGCCCCUGGGUUCAAUCCCUGGUACCAAAAAAUAAAAAUAAAAGCCUAAGUUCAAUGUAACACAAAGCUUAGCUUCUGGACACAAGUUCAGAAUUAGAACUCUUCAUUUCAGCAUUAGUGUCACACAGGGGCUGGGGGUGGCUCAGCGGCCAUAGUUCCAAAAGAGGGAGAGACAGAGACAGACAGAGAGAGAGCAACAGGGAGAGAGAGAGAGAGAGAAGACAAUUGAGAUGAGGUCCCUGCUGAUGUUGGCCCUGAUCACUUGGCUGAGGUGUCUGUCACACAUCUCCACUGUAAGUGACUUUUUUAUUCCUCCAUUGAGCACUGGUAUGUCAGGCAGGAUGACUGAGGGCAAAGCAUUCUUGUGAGAGUUCUUUGGCAUGGGAAUUGGGGCUUUUUCCCACACUUGCCUAUUCAUUCAGUCAUUUGUUUACACCAAAAUGGCCUUAAGACUGUUUAUUUAGACUCUUGGCUACAAUCCACCAUAACUUCAUUUGUUAUUCAAUUGCCCAAUUGUUCCAGCUUUGGCCAAUGGGAGCAUGUCCAGUGCCUCCUGUGUUCCAGGGAGCAAGGUUCUUUACUGUGUGCUUUUCUCUUUAAGCUCUGCCAAACCCUGGGGAAACUGACACACUCCAGGACCACUAGUGGAUCUCCUGCUGCAGGCCUUUAUCCAAGAAGCCCCAUUCCUUUGAUGUGAGAAAGCUUGUAGGAACCAAGAGUGGCUCUGGCAUCCUCAGGCUCCUUGCUGUGCAUUAUCACUUCUAGGCCUAUCACAAUCUAACCCCAAGAGCACACCGAUUAACCACAUUUUCCAAAUGUACCCCAUCUGGUAAGAAUGAGGCAGAUCGGGCAUUCAUGCUGUCCUCUCCUUCAGUCCUACCACUGGGUCCUUCUGGACUUGGCUUACCUAUUUGCACAGUAAAGAAGCUUGCUCAAUAUCCACUUUCCAUUGUCCGUUUCCAGUGUGCAGAGCCACAGGGCCAGGGUGGCACACAGUCACCACAGGAGCAACCAGGGAGCAGUUGCAUGUGGACUCCUUCGGUGCUGCCAACUUGGCUAAGGUCCAGCGAUGUGGAGGUCAAUCAAUGCCUUUAGCUCCUGGCUAGAUGUUUGGCAGCCCUGCGGUUUAGGGAAAACCUACAUAAAAGAAAGUCAUCUAACUUUGAUAGACUUCAGUAUUUCUUAAAUUUUGCAAACACAAUCUUGGUUUUAUUCAUCUAGUAUCAGUGAAUAUCACAUGAGCUACAGAGUAUAAUUUUUUUAGCUAUUUGAUUUUAUACACCCCUUCCAAUAGUAUAUUUUAUAUGAUUUUAUACAUCCCAUUUCCAACUAGUACCAAAACUAUAAAAUAUUCAGAAGCAUGAAAAUAUAUAUUUUUAAUUGUGCAAGCUUUUUCACAUAUUAAACUCAGAACUUCAAUUUGUCCUUCAACAUGCAGGACUGCUGAAAUUUGAAGGUUAUGUCACCUUAAAAUUUACUUGUAUGGACGUGACUUUAUUAUAGCCACUCUCUUUAAGGUAAGAAGAUUAAAGAAGUAGAUUUUUUUAUGGUUUGCUUUAGUAUAUUGAACAUUUUUCUAAAAUAAACUAUAAGAAAGCCAUUCUAAUUCAGUGGAAGAGAUGCUGAAAGAUUCAAGAUUAACAUCCAUUAUUAGCAAUGGAAAACGGAGGGAAAGAUCCGUGAAUUGUGCUCGUAGAAUUCUGCCCCCAUGGGAGACGGAAGGGUCAAGCCAUGUUGCAGUCUGGCUGCAGCAAAAUAACGGGGGGGGGGUGACGAACAAGUUGUGUACAUUGAUAUGCAGGAGUGGAAGCCUUUUAUUGUAGGACAACAGAGGUAUUUAUACAUUACACACAGCUUAUCUAAUUAACAUAAACUAGAUACAGCAGUCAACCAAUAAGGAAUUUCCACACUUAAUGGCUCACUGGCUUUACUUCACAAACCAUUCCCUCUGGCAUUUUGCCAGGUGUCAUCCAGACUUGUUUACAGACUCUAACAUUUGUCAGGUGCCAUCCAGACUUGUUUACAGACUCUAACAUUUCCCUCUUUUGUUUAAUUUAAAUAACGACCAUAGUGGUUUUUACAGAAACACCAUAAAUAAUCUGCUACAAGCAGAAGGGGAGGAUAGAAAAUGUCACAAUACCAAGCCAAUUGAUGGCUCCAUGCAAGAAGCCCUUGGAAAAAUUAUAUCAGCAAUGACACCGUUAGCAAAGAUACCGAGUUACAAUUUGUUGUAGAUUACAGUUUGUUGUCUCAGUCCAGGUAAAGCAGUGUCUCAAUAGAUUAACUCACAGUCCAGGUAAGUUCUGCAGGCAGCUAGCUUAAAUCACAGUCCAUGUAAGUUCUGCAGGCAGCUAGCUUGAUCCGAAGUCUCGUCCGGUUCUCAGCCGAAGUCUCGUCUGGUUUUUAGCAACACUGUAAAUUCUUCCACCUUUGUUUUCACCGGCACUGGGAGGAAGGCAGGAACUCUGGAUGGCUAAAGAAAAUCCUGUAGCAUUCCACUAAGAAAACAACCUUCUGAACAAUUUAGUACAUUAUCUCAAGGUUUUUUUACAUUUGAAAUAAGCAUUAAUAGUGCUUAUUACUCAUCAGCUUCCAGGUGUGGGAGAACCAUUGUAGCUUAGUUAUUGGCAUUCAAAAUGACCAAACAUCAGGGACACCAGUAGUGUCUUCUGCUGGCUGUAGUGUCCUGGGCAGCCCCAGAUGGCCCUGGGGAGUGUCCCGGACUCAAACUGCUACUGGGCACAGGGAGCAAGAGCCUGUGAGACUGUGCCUCCAGGUCAGGUCUAGAUUUGGCCUCGCGACAGUGGAAGAGCCAGCUCCCCGGCCAGGAGGCGGGGAAGGGCCAGUCGCUGCCGCCUCUUGGAAAAUCCUUGCUGUGCUGUGACCCGGUUGCACACUCGGUAGCUGCCUCUCGGCUUCACGCACCCUCCGGUAAUGAAAAGUAUUUAGUAAUAGCCUUUUGCUGCAACUUUUUUUCCUGAUAAUCCUUCUUCUUCUGAAUUUUCUUUUUCUUUCUGAGUAGAGUUCCUGGGAUUCCAUCAACACAUGCCCUAACUAUUCUUGGUUUCACUGGGGUGCCUUCUUCCCUUAGUAAUUUAUUUUUUACCCCUUCCAUAUUUUCAACACAAAGACAAUACAACAUUUCAAGACAAAACAAGACACAAACAUACUGUAUCAUUUUUUUCCAUUUUCUCGAAAUGGCCAUUUUUUCUUUUGCCCUAUUUGCCUAGGGAUGAGCAGAUUGCUCCUGUCCUAUCUAUGGAUGGGCAGCUUUUUUUUUUUCGUCACUUACCCCCGAGUGUCCCGGGGCUCCCCGUACGGGCCACCAUCUGUUGCAGUCUGGCUGCAGCAAAAUAACCGGGGGGUGACGAAAAACUUGUGUACAUUGAUACAGCAGGAGUGGAAGCCCUUUAUUGUAGGACAACAGAGGUAUUUAUACAUUCCACACAGCUUAUCUAAUUAACAUAAACUAGAUACAGCAGUCAACCAAUAAGGAAUUUCCAGACUUAAUGGCUCGCUGGCAUUACUUCACAAACUAUUCCCUCUGGCAUUUUGCCAGGCGUCAUCCAGACUUGUUUACAGACUCUAACAAAGCCAAA
rnacentral:lncRNA from 1 species